AACGCACAUUGCACUGUGUUUCGGCACAGUAUGCCUGUUUGAGAAUCUAUCGUAUUUAUUUUACCUAUGAAACUUUUUGUUUACUAGGUAAAGAUGUGAAGUGUCUCUAACCAGAGUACUUUGAAAUCGAUAGCCAUUUUGGUAUUGGUAGUGUUUGACUCUUUUACCAUGAUAGAAAUGUAUUUGAAUGAAACCUAGUUUCUCAUUAUACUACUCUUUUCAACCGGAAAAAGAUUAGCUUCCAGUCGACAAAUGGUUCAUAACCUUUGAAAAAUGAUCCAUUUGGGUUGUUUUUGAACCUUGGUCUCAAAUCAGGUAGGAUUACCCGCUGAACUUAA
rnacentral:misc_RNA from 1 species